AUUGGACUUGGAGUCAGAAGACUUGGCUCUGAGUCCCGACUCUGCCACUCAGUGGCCUGUGGCACUGGAACAGACAUUUUGCCUCUCUG
ensembl:miRNA